CCCCUCUCAGCAUCACACCUGGAGAGUUUCCUUUACUCCGCCAGUCUCGACCAUGGGAGGGAGAGUCAAGCAGAGGCCUGUCCAUUCCAUUCCUAGCUUGGGUAGUGGCUAGUGAGUGGAAGGCAAUCUGCUACAAGU
rfam:Ornithorhynchus anatinus chromosome 1, whole genome shotgun sequence.